UCGGAUUAUUAUGACUCGAACAUAAGAAAUCCUCAACCCAAAUGAGGCGCCUUACCAACCUGGCUCUAAUCCG
rnacentral:tRNA from 1 species